UUAGGCUUAUAAUAUUUUAAGUUUAUUGAUCAUUUGUAUAAAAGUAAAGUUUGUAUACAAUUAGUUAAUCUAAGCAUAACUUAUUUUGCUGAAGCUGUGAUAGUUUGGAGGGAAACUGGGAUUAGAUACCCCAUUAUUCUUAACUGUAAAUCUAAUUAAAUUUACCAGAGUACUAUGAAUGAUUUAUAAAAAUUUAAAACUCAAAGAGCUUGGCGGUGCUUUAGACCUAUCAGGGGAACCUGUCUCAUAAUCGACAAUCCACGUUGUUACCUUACCUUAUUUUGUAUCCAGUUUGUAUACCGUCGUCGUCAGGUAACUUUUAAAAAUUUAGAAGUUGGCAGUAAUAACAAUUUUAUAAGUUAAGACGUCAGAUCAAGGUGCAGCUAAUAAUAAGGAGAGGAUGGGUUACAAUUAUUUCAAUUAUAAUCACGGAUAAUUAGAUGAAAAAUAAUCUGAAGGAGGACUUGAAAGUAAAAUAAAAUAUAUAAACAUUUUGAAUGCGGCUCUG
rnacentral:rRNA from 1 species